UACGUAGGGGGCAAGCGUUGUCCGGAUUUAUUGGGCGUAAAGAGCGUGUAGGCGGCCAGGUAGGUCUGCUGUGAAAACUCGAGGCUCAACCUCGAGAUGUCGGCGGAAACCAUCUGGCUAGAGUCCGGAAGAGGAGAGUGGAAUUCCCGGUGUAGCGGUGAAAUGCGCAGAUAUCAGGAAGAACACCCGUGGCGAAGGCGGCUCUCUGGGACGUGACUGACGCUGAGACGCGAAAGCGUGGGGAGCGAACAGG
rnacentral:rRNA from 1 species